rnacentral:lncRNA from 1 species
AAUAGACGGUCCCCUCUAAAAGACAAAAAAAUACUGCGCAGCUACACCCCAUCAUAUGCCUUGCUUCCAUCAUCGGCGAGCUCACGAAGAACAUGAGAACAGUAGCGCCUCGUCUCUUCACUCCCUCCGAUUUGUCUAUGCCUCACGUAUGCGCACCAUUCAUAAGAUCAUAAGGAAUAGUUAGCCGAAAACUCAAAACAAGCAGCUAAAAAGUUAGAUUCUCAACAGCUGAAAAUACUAAGAAAUAGUUAUACAUCUAUAAAAUCUAGAAAAAAAAAGCCACUGAAUUUUUGAAAUGAAAGAAGAACUUUAAAUCUGAUAAAAACCCUGAUUCAACUUCAAGCUGUUGGAUCUUCGAAGGUGAUUUUCUACAAUUGCGAGCCUCCCCAAACUUCUGUCGCAUCAUCUAAAGGAGUUGUUUGCUUGCUGAGUUCGUUUGGGAUGUUGCUGUUAAGUUUCAACUCUCUCCUAUUUUUGUAUUUAUUUGGCU